UAGCACAGUAGAAAUUGAAACAAAGGCCA
rnacentral:piRNA from 1 species